GAUGAAGAACGUAGCGAAAUGCGAUAAGUAAUGUGAAUUGCAGAAUUCAGUGAAUCAUCGAAUCUUUGAACGCACAUUGCGCCCGCCAGUACUCUGGCGGGCAUGCCUGUUCGAGCGUCAUUUCAACCAUCAAGCCCCCGGCUUGUGUUGGGGACCUGCGGCUGCCGCAGGCCCUGAAAAGCAGUGGCGGGCUCGCUGUCACACCGAGCGUAGUAGCAUACAUCUCGCUCUGGGCGUGCUGCGGGUUCCGGCCGUUAAACCACCUUCAUAACCCAAGGUUGACCUCGGAUCAGGUAGGAAGACCCGCUGAACUUAAGCAUAUCAAUAAGCGGAGGA
rnacentral:misc_RNA from 1 species